rnacentral:rRNA from 1 species
UACGUAGGGACCAAGCGUUGUUCGGAUUUACUGGGCGUAAAGGGCGCGUAGGCGGCAAUUCAAGUCAGCUGUGAAAUCUCCGAGCUUAACUCGGAACGGUCAGCUGAUACUGUUUUGCUAGAGUGCAGAAAGGGCAACCGGAAUUCUUGGUGUAGCGGUGAAAUGCGCAGAUAUCAGGAGGAACACCGGUGGCGAAGGCGGCUUACUGGUCCGGAACUGACGCUGAGGUGCGAAAGCGUGGGGAGCAAACAGG